rnacentral:rRNA from 1 species
UACGAAGGGGGCGAGCGUUGUUCGGAAUUACUGGGCGUAAAGGGCGCGUAGGCGGCCCCUUUUGUCGCGUGUGAAAGCCCCGGGCUCAACCUGGGAGGUGCGCGCGAAACGGGGGGGCUUGAGUUCGGGAGAGGAGAGUGGAAUUCCCAGUGUAGAGGUGAAAUUCGUAGAUAUUGGGAAGAACACCGGUGGCGAAGGCGGCUCUCUGGACCGAGACUGACGCUGAGGAGCGAAAGCGUGGGUAGCAAACAGG